rnacentral:lncRNA from 1 species
GGUUGUCCCAUCGAGCCGUCGCCAUUCUCAUCCCCUCGGGAUCUCCUCCCAAUCCACUCACCAGCAAACCAACGAGAGUCCCUGACCACCUCCCUUCUUCUCCGCGCCGCUCCAAUCCCAAUCCUCGCACCUGGCUCAUCCUCUGGUCGCGCCGCAGCGCAGCGCCACCCAAUCGCAUGAUCAGAGCCUCCCUUGGGAUCCCCUCACAGCCAACCAGAUGCCCAGCCUGCAGCACCCAACCUCCCUCUCCUCUCGUUCCCAAGGGCAAGGAGACACCCGAGCCGGAGCUCUUACGCAACGCCUAUGGUGCCUCAGGUCCACCUCAACGUCCUCCUCCUCCGGCAGCUGCCUCCCGCCGGUGAGCACCAGCGAGAAGCCCCGCGCUCCUUCUCCGUCCACAGCCAUGCCCCUGCAACCUCCUCUCCUACUCCCUUCCCUCUCUCUCCUUCACCCCGGUCUCUCAUUCUUUUUCUUCAGGUGAUGCCCCGCCAUGGUCAAGGCAGUUGUUGGUUGCCACGAAGCCACAGUGACCGGAGGUCCCCUGCCGCCCUGAGCCCCGCGAUGACCAAGCCUCCUCCAGAUCCGCCCGCCUUCGAAGGUCUGUUGGCCUUCCCAGAGCAUCGCCGCCUCCCUCGCGCUUCUCCCUGAUGUUGCCUCCUCCCGCUUGAUGGGAUCGUGUCAAGGAGCUGCUCGCUUGACCCGACGCUUGCGUGCAUUGACCUUCAGCUCCGCUCAGCCUACACCGCUCGCCAAGGCACACCUAGCUCGCCUACUAGCCCAGCGAGCCUCCUCCUCAAGCCUUCUCUUUCGACUGGGUCGAAGCCCAUGGUGAGAUCCCUCCCAAGCCAGCCGACACUGUUAUCAUACGCCCAUGGGCGAGAUUUUUUACCAUGUGCUAAUUAUACUGUUUCAUCCCCGUAUUUUGCGAGAUUCAACCCGAUUCAUUUUUUCCGUCUAGCGAAUUUGCCUAAUUAUGUGAGGAAUUGCAGUUUAAUAGAAAAAACCCUCGUCUUCCUGCAUAUAAUAAUUCCACAACCAUGCAUUAGAUUAGAAUGAUUUCAACAUGAAAAAUGCUUAAAACUUUCAAUACAUUAAUAAUACCAACUUUCAUCAAUGUUUAAAAUGUUUAAACUUGUUGUUUGAUUUAAUGUACAUAAAUGCCAUGCUAAUAUGAUUUAUUUCAUAACUAAUUAACCGUAACACUGAUUAAAAUGAUCCACGUAUGUAGAUUGACUAGAAAAAUGCGUAGAAUAACAUGGUGGCAAUUAUUUUUCUCUUUAACAACUUUAAAAUUGUGUUAUAGGAAGAACAUUAGUAAAUUCAAAAAGUACAUAUGGGGACUUUCUGGAAUUGUUACUUGUUGUUUUCGACCUCAUUUAAAAUGCCUAGAUGAUGUAGUUGUUCAUGCUUCACCGCUUGCCUUUAAUUAAGAACACUUCAAAUUAUUGUUAGUUAAAAAAACAUGAACCACAUUCCUCUUAAAUAUGGAGAGUUAUUAUUUUGUUAUAUGUAUGUUCUCCUUUUCUAUUUAAAAUUGCUUAAUUCCAUCUCCACCUUAUGCCAUCACCACCCAUGUUGUCGUGGUUUUGUCACGGCAGAUGUCCUCAUGAAAGGACUUAGUGUUGGAGCCAUCGCACCUUGGUAGCGACUCAAAGGGGUUGAACGGGAGCGAGACAGAGGUUUACCCAGGUUCGACCCUCGUGUGGAGGUAAAUGCCUACGUCCUGCUUUGUGUUGUAUUGAUGAUGUUUCGAUUACAAGGAGGGCGUAACUUGCCUGACCUAGCACUCGAUGUUUUCUCACCUCUCCCCUCCUUCCUCGGGAGGUCGAGUCCUUACGGUUUACAAGAGUCCUUACCAUCAUGCAAGUCAUGAUUCUUUCUAUCUCUAAGUCGCCGUGUUUUCCAAGACUUGGAGAUCUUCCCAAUGAUUGAUUCUCCACAAGGAUCUUGAAUCGCCGUCUUGCUCUUGGGCUUACAGGCCAAAGCUUGAAUCACCAAAGGAUGAGUCGCCCACUUGGUGACCUGACCCAACUAGGGCGGGUCACACAACAGAUAAUAUCCCCAACAUUAGGCCCCAGAUUGACCUAAACAUGUUCAUGUCAACUCUCACCUAGUCAGGGGCGACUCACUCUGCUCUUUUUACGCAUCAUACGCUUAAUCUGCCACCCUAUCGUGGAAAUAUCCAAGUCGCCGAACCGUUUCUUGUUGACAUCAUCUUAUCCCUUUUAUCUCGGAAGAAAUGAUGACGCAAUUCCCAACGGAUCUUUCGGCACAUAUAUCCCGAAAAUCUUGCGCUAUUAUAGCGAAUCUUUAUCAUGUCAUCAGUUCCCGCGCGAGGCGCCUCGAUUCCAGCGUCCGACCCAAUAAAUAGGCUGGGGAAGGGGGCAGGGAACAUCCCCACCUACCCAUUUCGUCGACCCCUUCUUCCUCGCAACUGCGUCAAGAACUCCAUCGCCACCCGAGGACCUCUGUCUACGUCCACCGCGUCCAACGCAUCCCCAGGCCGACCAAGCGCGCAACACUCACCGCGGAUCUUCCUCGGUCGCCUCCGGUCGCCAUCAUCAGGUUAGUCCUUUGCCAUUAGAGGUAGAUCUUAGCUCCUCGAGGUUCAUCGCUUGCCGGUUUCUUAGAACACCUCGAAUGCCCCCAUAGACGCUGAUUAGUUCACAACGAUAAUAGUAGGUACGGUAGCAAUGACCAUAUCCUCAGUUGAUUAGCUCCUGUUUGAGGAUCUAAAAAAGGCUUCUGUCAAAUCAGCUUUACUGUUCUUACCCUAGCCAUAGGCUGUUUUAUUUUAUCCAGGCCUUUUUUCAUUCAUUUUCGCCUGCUCCGUAGAUCUAUGUGUUACUGCCUGUUGUAUAAAACAUGUUUGUAGACCCGUACUUCACCAUUUUAGCGAACAUCUCUGAAGCUCUGAGUUGUGUCCCUUAAGCGGUAGGAAAAUCCUAAAUCGGCCUUGUAUUCUGACUCGGCCCCUUGUUGGUGAGUCAACAGACUCCCUUAGUCACCUGACAAAUGUUCGGCGAGUUAAUUGAUCCUUUUAACCACUCAGUAAGCGCUCGGUGAGUUAAUUUAUUUGUAAUCUUUUCCUUUGUAGCCAUGGGUACCGUUUUCAAAGCCGAUUGGCUCCCGACCAAAGUUGAUGAAGCUUUUCUCAACGACUGUGUGAAGAUGGGAAAUCUCGAUCCGAAAGAGGUUAUCGGAUGACGAUCCGGGUUUGGAGAAGAAAUUCCCAACCCGAAAGAAGGGGAAAUAGUUGUCUUUGCUGAGCACCUCGAACGGGGGUUUAAGCCGCCAGGGUCAAAAUUCCUCAGAGAUGCCAUGACUUUCAUGAACAUCCGCCUCCGAGACUUAGGACCUAACUUGAUUAGGAACUUAUGUCAGUUUCAAGUGUUCUGUGAAGCCUAGUUGCAGAUGGAACCUUCAGUUCCUUUAUUCUGGUAUUUUUUUUUCAUUUGAAUCGCCAGACCGAAUUUUCCAAUGGCCUAGCUUGGAACUUGGAGGCGUCAACGUUCAACGCCGCAGGGACAACUCAUUCCCAUCACUCGCCAUGCCAAGCCAUCCCAAAGGCUGGGGUGAGUCUUGGUUUUAUUGCUAAGAAACUUCUCCUGAGGAUGAAAACAAGCUCCUUGGUUAUAGGGAGGAACGCCUUCCUACAAACUUUAAACUUCCAUACAAGCUUACUAAAGAAGAGGAGUCAGAUUUUAUUUCGGUGCUAUCCGAGUUACGAUCUUUGACAAACAAUGGUCUUACUGGGAUUGAUUUGAUCCGCUGCUGGGUUGAAUGACGCAUCCUUCCUUUAAGUCGCCGAGACGGCUUAAUGUGUGAGUUUGAUGGCACCUUGGACCAUCCCCAAUGCUACUUCCGUACAACACUGACAGAAAAUGAUAUUGUGACCAUCAUCAAGAAGCUGACCGGCGAGCCCUUGGCCAAGUGUAGCCAAAUAGGUCUUAAGCCAUUCUGCAAGAUCAACCCGGCUCCUAAGGUAAAUAACUUAACCCGUCUUUACUUUAUUCUUUCCGACUUACUUGAAUGAUGACUCUCAUAAUAAAAAUGCCACUUCAAAAAGGUGGCAAAUUCUGGUCCAAGAGGCCGAAAAAGGUGGCCCUGAAGCAAGCCAGGCCGCCUCCAAAAAAGAAAUCCAAGAGAAAAAGCAAAGCCGCCAUUACUGAACCGUCUGAUGUGGACAAAUCCCAAAUCGGUGACGUAUCUUUAGAGGUAAAAUUCUAUCUUCUUUGUCUUGCCAUCCAUUGCUAUAAUUUGUGUUUACACCUCUGUAUCUCUUAUAUGUAGAAUGAUGGCAGCGAAAGCCAAGAAGACUCCGUAGAGGUAAUUUCUGUUUCCUCCUACUCAUCUUCUCCUCCGCCUAAGUCGGCCAGGCGGGUUUGUGGGAAGGUUCCCAUGUCUCACCCAAAUGCUUGUUUGGAUCCUAAUUUCCUUUUGAAGAAAGCGCAACAUGCUUCCUAUUGGAAGACUCGGAGUCAUUCUGGAGACUUGGUGUCCGGGUUACCAGCGAAAACUCCUACCAAGAAGAGGCAAAAUGAGGUAUCCUUUUAACAGCGUCCCCUUUUGCUUCCUUUUGGAUCAUACUUAUAACUUGCUCAUAUCUUGAGGUAUUACUUUUGCAGAAUUCUCCCCCUUCGUCAGGCGACUCAGUGAUGUCAGCCCUUCCGCCAAUGAUCUGCGUUCCAGGGUAAAUUCUUAUAAAACUUACAUUUGUCCAGAUGAUGAUGAUGUCUAUUUUUAAGCACAUCCCCUUCUCUUUUUAAGGCACAAGCGAAGAAAAGGAAAACUGGCGGAUCAACUUCCACUACAGCUCCGGAGCCUAUUGAAAACCGGCGCCGACUCAGGCUAACCCGGCAAAGGAUAAAUAUGAUGACCAAGCGGAUCUGCCAAGUUCUCCCAAGGAAGGCACGGAAACGCCCAAUCCGCCGAGUCCGUUGAAAACGGCAGAGGAUCCAGAUGUUGUAAUCAUCACUGGUACUAGCUUCUCUAAGACGGCUUCGGCAAUCUUGUCGAAGUAUGUAUCAACAUCAACCCAGCCUUCUACUAGACAUGAGAUUUCCAAGGCCAAACUAUCCCAAUAUGAAAAUCUUGAAUUUAAAGAGCUCUGCUCCGGCUUUGCAAGUCGCCUGGAGGCGAGUUAUGAAAUGGAGAAGAGUCUACUCCUUAUGGUGAAGAAUAGACAUGAGGUACGCCUUAAUGCAUACCUUCCUCAUUAACCCCCAAGGGUCGGGUCAUCUGUUGAAAGAUGAGUCGGGUCUUGAUAUUAGACCUGUAACCCCCAAGGGCCGGGUCAUUUGUUGAAAGAUGAGUCGGGUCUUGAUAUUAGAAAAAAUCUUUCGACCUGUAACCCCCAAGGGACGGGUCAUCUGUUGAAAGAUGAGUCGGGUCUUGAUAUUAGAAAAAAUCUUUCGACCUGUAACCCCCAAGGGCCGGGUCAUCUGUUGAAAGAUGAGCCGGGUCUUGAUAUUAGAAAAAAUAUUUCGACCUAUAACCCCCAAGGGUCGGGUCAUCUGUUGAAAGAUGAGCCGGGUCUUGAUAUUAGAAAAAAUCUUUCAACCUAUAACCCCCAAGGGCCGAGUCAUCUGUUGAAAGAUGAACCGGGUCUUGAUAUUGUAUAAUUUUGUCUAAAAAAUUAUACAUUAGCACCCAAGUGUCAGAGAUGUUGCUUGCAAUAAUUCUGAGACUUGCCCCUUGAUAAUAUAUUUUGAUAGGAAUCUCUUGCCCAAGUUGAGUCGGCGUUUGUCGACUUAAAGAAAAGUUUAGCCGACCAGCAAGACGCGCGGGCAAAAUCAGAAGAAAAAUGUCAAGUGAUCUUAUCUGAGAUGGAAAAUCUGAAGGCCGCCCACAAGAAGGCUCAAGCUGACCAAGGCGCCGCGGUAAAGCGAGCGGAAAAAGCUGAAGCAAAACUGGAAGUCGUGCAACAAGAGCUGGCCGGUUUAAAGCAACAUAUCUCCAAUAUGGCACAUGCUAUCUUUGGUAAGAAGCAAACCAUGAUCUUGUACUUUGUAAAAAAACUUAGUAUGAAGAAGUUACUAACCAUCAUUAUCCCUUAUAUAGGUUAGAGAGCCGCCAACCUUCAGGAUGAUUGUAUCUUGAUGCUAAAGGCGAUUUACACAUUAACAAAGCAACUGUAUAUCGGAAGCGUGCUGACCGUGAAGGCAGUGAUGGGCGCCAAGGAAACCAUAACAUCAAUCAAAAAGAUGCUUGGCUGCUUAUCUACCCUUCCGCCUCAGAUAGGUGAGCUAACCCGAUCAGCUGCCCGGAAAGGGGUACUGACUACGUUGAGUCGGUGCUUAGCAUACGCUCCAGAGCUAAAACCUGAAGAAGUAACACCAGGCUUUCCCCAGCUCAAGGACGACGGGUCAGAAUUUACUCAAGAUGAUUAUCAGCGCGUUGUCAAAGAAUCUCGCUCGGUGGCAACUCAGCUUGCAGCAAGCUUGGAUUUGUCAAAGUAUCAAGCUACUUAUGAUGACAAGGAUAAGAAAAUAAAUCCGCCAACCUUUGUGACAACCAUCUUGACUCCGCGUCGACCCAAGAACCCUUUUGAUUUGGAGGCGGAUCUCUCGACAUUUUUGAAUGAUGAAGAUGAAUUCGCCGCCUUAUCCAAGUGUAAUUGGGUGUUGGGCGACUUACAACUUGAAAUCGGCCAGAGCACAAAGCAAGCUGACCCGGGGACAUCAGCAGAGUAGUUCUUCAUGGAUUUGGCCAUCAAAGCCAUGUAAUAGGUUAUUCGUAGAAAACAACCUUGUUCCGUGAUUUCUUUAAAACCCUUGUGUCGCCCGCACGGCGCCUUAUGAUGCUUGACCCUCCAUGGCAGUAGUGAUUUGGAUCAUCAAUCUGUUAGGCUAAAAACAUACAUCAAACCACCUCAGUGAGUAAUAGAUGAUAAUAAAUAAUAACCGACUCAGGAUGUUCCGGUGAGUCGGAAAAAUUUGCAAAACCUUGUGGCAGUGCCAUGAAGGUGAAACUAAGAAUUUCGUCGGCUCGUUCAAGUCGCGACAGGAUACGACGAGUUAUAUAAACUCAACUGCUACCCGAGGGAGACUUUUUGUGUAAAAAAGCUCAAGUAUUUAGACCGGCUGAUCAGGCACGGGUCUAGCUUCAGUGAAGCAGGUUCAGUGAACCAAUGGUUUCUCUAUUUUCCAUGUGGGGCGCUAGCCGGUACCAUGCAUGUUUUAACCAAGGCGAGUUCAGGGUCCAUAAAGCGGAGUAACUUGCCAAGAGUUCAUGGGUCCAUAUAGCGAUUCGGCCAGCACACAGUCCAGUAUAACCAUUUGUAAUGCGGUAAUUUUUCGCAGGCCAAAUGGGUAGUAAGGCUGAUCUCAAUGAGAGGAAGCCCCCAAGUGACCUAUGAUUAGGGGAAAGACCGGUCAUAGGAUUGUAGAAGCGUGUACGCUCUUACCACAAAACGACUUGGGAGCAAAUAGCCCCCAAGUAAGCCGGCCUAAUCCACAUAAUCAUAUAAGGCGCCUAUGUUUGGAUGGCGCGCUUGUAGCGACUUGAUCCUCUUUGGCUUAUCGAUACCCAGUGUUGUAAUAAGUGCAUCAUGGCGACUUAUGCUCUCUGGUAUGGAUAGCGUCCAUGCUUGGGCGACUUGUCGAGGAGCAAAAAAAAAUCCAUACUUUCCAUAAGAUGAAAUAGCAGGAAAGCCCCGGAAUUCGUGGGCAUCAAUUUUAUUGCUUCAUAAAAAUGAAAAACUUACAAUUUUCAAGAGAAGAAAAAACAGAGCCAAUAGCUCAAGUGUAAUAAGGCCACAAGUGGGCUAUGUUCCAGGGGCGAGUUGACUCAGCCUCCGUGGUUGGCCGAUCAGGCCGUAGAUGCACCAGAUAAUAUGACCCGUUGCGAAGGCUUUUGCUAAUGACGAACGGUCCUUCCCAUGGUGGUGAUAACUUAUGCAUGCCAGUGCGAUCUUGGAUUAAUCGAAGCACUAAGUCGCCCUCCUCAAAAGUUCGGCUCUUGACUCGGCGGCUAUGGUAACGCCGCAAGUCCUGCUGAUAAAUAGUUGAUCGGGCGGCAGCCAAAUCGCGUGCUUUCUCCAAAGCGUCCAAAGAAUCUUGACGCGCCAACUCGUUAACCUGUUCCACAUAAGCAGCAACUCUCGGCGAGUCAUGCCUAAUGUCAGUGGGAAGAACAGCUUCUGCUCCAUAUACCAGGAAAAAAGGAGUAAAACCCGUAGAACGGUUCGGGGUGGUUCGGAUGCUCCACAUCACUGAAGGCAACUCCUCAACCCAACACCCUGGGGUACGCUCCAGGGGAACCAUAAGUCGGGGCUUGAUUCCUCGCAAAACUUCCUGAUUCGCCCGUUCCGCUUGCCCAUUAGAUUGUGGAUGAGCAACCGCGGAUACAUCAAGCCGGAUGUGCUCACGGUGGCAAAACUCCUGCAUCGCACCUUGUGAUAGAUUAGUACCAUUAUCAGUAAUAAUGCUGUGUGGAUAUCCGAACCGGAAGAUCAGUUUUUUCAAGAACUUGACCGUUGUUUCCGCAUCACAAGCACCAACAGGUUGUGCUUCGACCCACUUGGUAAAUUUAUCAACCGCCACCAGCAGAUGAGUUAUUUUUUUGUUGGAUGACAUCUUAAAGGGGCCAACCAUGUCUAGCCUCCAGACCGCAAAAGGCCAAGUAAUAGGUAUCAUCCUUAGUUCUUGAGCCGGCACAUGAGCCUAUCGUCCUUAACGCUGGCAACCAUCACAUCGACGAACUAUCUCUUCUGCAUCUGCAUGAGCCGUCAACCAACAGAAUCCGUGACGGAACGCCUUUGAGACCAGGGAACAUGACCCGACAUGAUGCCCACAAUCUCCGGCAUGGAUGUCGUUCACAAUUACACAUCCUUCUUCGGAAGAAACGCAUCGUUGGAAUACCCCAGAAGUGCUUCGCUUAUAUAAUUCGCCAUUGAUGAUGACCAUGGAUUUGCUCCGACGGACAAUUUGGCGAGCCAACACCUCAUCCGAAGGUAACUCGCCUCGUGCAAGAUAUGCCAAAUAAGGAAGAACCCAAUCCGGCGUAACACGAAGAGCCGCCACAAACUGGGACUCAGGUUCUGGUAUUGCUAACUCCUCUUCUGAGGGUAACCUUACGGAAGUAUUAUGCAAAAUAUCCAGAAAGACAUUGGGAGGAACCGGCUUACGUUGUGAGCCGAGACGUGAAAGGGCGUCAGCUGCUUCGUUAAGGCGUUGGUCGAUAUGAUCAAUUUGAUAGCCACGGAAAUGACGCGCCACAUCAGACACAACCCUUCUGUAAGCCGCCAUCAGGGGGUCCCGAGAAUCCCAAGUACCUGAAACUUGUUGGGCCACCAGAUCAGAAUCGCCAAGACAUCUGACACGCGUGAGGUUCAUCUCCUUGGCGAGUCGCAAACCAUGAAGCAAGGCUUCAUACUCUGGAGCGUUGUUAGUGCAUGGAAACAUGAGUCGGAGAACAUAACAGAAUUUGUCUCCCUGGGGCAAAAUCAAUACCACGCCAGCUCCCGAGCCUUCUAAUUGCCUAGACCCAUCAAACUAGAUAGUCCAGUACGUGAGGUCAGGCCUGUCUUCCGGAAUCUGCAAUUCGGUCCAAUCGUUGACGAAGUCGACCAAUGCCUGGGAUUUGAUGGCCGUGCGAGGGGUGUACCGCACGUGGUGCAGCCCAAGUUCGAUUGCCCAUUUGGCGAUCCGCCCUGUCGCUUCUCGGUUUUGGAUGAUGUCCCCGAGAGGAGCGGAGCUAACCACCGUGAUGGGAUGCUCUUGGAAAUAGUGUUUGAGCUUCCGACUCGCCAUAAAGACCCCGUAGACCAGCUUCUGCCAGUGCGGGUAAUGUUGCUUGGAGAGGGUUAGCACCUCGCUAAUGAAGUAGACCGGGCGUUGUACCGGAUAUUCCUUCCCUUCUUCCUUCCGUUCAACAGCUACUACCACGCUCACCGCCUUGGAGUUCGCCGCGAUGUACAGAAGCAUAGGUUCUUUUUCAGUCGGGGCGGCCAAAACUGGCGGGUUGACCAACUGCUGUUUCAAGGCUUCAAAAGCUUCAUUCGCCACGUCUGUCCAAACAAAACGGUCAGAUUUCUUAAGCAACUGAUAGAGGGGAAUAGCUUUCUCCCCCAGGCGGCUUAUGAAGCGACUUAAAGCCGCGAUACGGCCCGCCAUGCGUUGAACUUGAUUAAUAUUUGCUGGUUUCCCAAGCGAAGUAACUGCCUCAAUUUUGUCCGGGUUGGCCUCAAUGCCGCGUUCAGACACCAGGAAACCCAGCAAUUUUCCCGCGGGAACGCCAAAGACACAUUUGGUGGGAUUAAGCUUCAUUUGAUAUACCCGCAGGUUGUGAAAAGUUUCCCUUAGAUCUUCCAAGAGCGUCUCCCUCCUACGAGUCUUAACCACAAUGUCAUCAAUAUAAGCGUGGACGUUGCGUCCGAUUUGGCCACGGAUUCAAUUUUGGAUGCAGCGCUGAUAAGUCGCCCCAGCGCUUUUGAGCCCGAACGGCAUGGACACAUAACAAAAAGCCCCGAACGGGGUUAUAAAAGUUGUCUUCUCCUGAUCUUCCACGGCCAUCUUGAUUUGGUGAUAUCCGGAAUAAGCGUCCAGGAAACACAGACGCUGGCAGCCCGCCACUGAAUCAAUAUUUGAUCGAUGCGGGGAAGGGCGAAAGGGUCCUUUGGACAAGCUCUGUUAAGAUUUGUGUAAUCAAUGCACAUGCGGAAGGUGCCGUUCUUCUUGAGCACCAGGACCGGGUUAGCCAACCACUUGGGGUGGAAGACCUCUACGAUGAAUCCGGCGGCCAAAAGACGGGCGACUUCUUCCCCGAUUGCCUUGCGUCGUUCCUCAUUGAACCUGCGAAGAUAUUGCUGAAUCGGCUUUGCUUUUGGGUCAACAUUAAGAUGGUGCUCAGCAAAUUCUCUCGGUACACCAGGCAUGUCAGAAGGUUUCCACGCGAAGAUGUCCCGACUCUCACGGAUGAACUCGUUGAGCGCGCUUUCCUAUUUAGGAUCCAGACCCGCCCCGAUAGUAAACUGCUUGGAUGAGUCGCCAGGGACGAAAUCCAUCAUCUUAGUGUCAUCCGUUGGUUUGAACUUGAGGGGCGGCUCAGCGUCUGCUGUUGGCUUCUUUAGAGGUGACAUAUCUGCUGGAUCAACAUUGGCCUGGUGAUACUUGAGCUCUUCUGCAGCGCAGGCGACUUCUGCGUAAGCCGCAUCCCCUUCCUCACACUCUCUUGCUAUCCUCCUCUCACCAUCAACCGUGAUGGGUCCCUUAGGACUAGGCAUCUUGAGUUUAAGGUAAACAUAGCAGGGGCGAGCCAUGAAACAGGCGUAAGCCGGUCGCCAAAACAACGCAUGAUAAGGGCUCUUUAACCUGACCACCUCAAAUAUAAGUGACUCAUUCCUGUAAUUGGAUGCUGUUCCAAACGCCACUAUGAGUUUAACCCGGCCUAUGGGGUAUGCCGACUUAACUGGGACAAUUCCAUGGAAUACCGUGGUGGACGGCAUUAGGCCUUUCUCCAGCAGGUUCAUCCUUCGAAAAGUGUCGAAGUAUAGUAUGUUGAUGCUGCUACCACCAUCCAUCAGCACCUUCGAUAAGGUAUAUCCCCCGACAUGAGGAUCCACGACCAAUGCUAAGUCGCCGGGGUUGUCAACUCUAGGCGGGUGAUCCUCCCUACUCCACGAUAUAGUCUGCUCGGACCAGUGGAGGUACCUAGGGAGCGUCGGCUCAGAUACACUGUACGCUCGGUGACUCACCUUUUUAUCAUGCUUGCAGGCAUUUGUGGUGAAGACGUGCUAUUGCCCGUUGCUUAAUUGUUUGGGAUUGUUGCGGAAACCGCCAUGAUCAUCUUGCCCCUGUGGAGCCCCCUGCCGGGGUGGCUGCUGAAAUACUCCGGGCGGGUUAUACCGCUGUUGGUUAUGCACCGGAUAUUGGCCGCUCCUUGGUUGCGAGCCGCCCUGAGCCCCCGGUUCGGGGAAGCCGCCAAACGGGUUCUGGCGUUGAUUAGGUGCACUGAACUGUUCCUGUCGUUGGCCCGGGUCACCGUUUUGGCCCUUUUUGAUUGCUUCCGCCCAAAAUUCCCGCAUCACGUAACAGUCCUCCCAAGAGUGAGUCGCCGGCCCGUCCGUCGUGGCAUGGUGCGGGCAGGGGCCCUUGAGUAUCUCAUUAUAAUUGUUGGCUUCUUGCCACUGUAACCCCUCUUCUUCUGGCGCUGAUUGCCGUUGUUGGCAUUGGUGUUGGCGACGAAGUCCGUGGAUCCUUCCUACUGCCUUCUUUUGCCGUCCCCCCAUGAUUAUGGUGGGCGCGUCCGUGAAGCCGGGUAUGAUUUUUGGAUGACUCGCCUUUCCUCGACGAGUUGGCCUUUUUGCUCCAAGAUCAGCACAGCCUGAGCCGCCGUGAUGCCGUCCGACGAGUGGAUGAUUUCUGCGACCCGCCGCGUCCAGUGGUGAGCCGACUCAUCGGGGCACUGAACGCAGUGUUGUAAAUCAACUAUCGUCAUUGGGAACUUACAAGUUCCCCGGAAGUUUUUGAUGAAACGCUCUUUCAAUUCAGCCCGAGUUUGGAUGGAGUUGGGGGGCACGUUUUUCAACCAAGUACACGCCGUCCCCUCGAGCAUCAUUGUGAAGUACCUAGGGCAAAUUGCUUCAUUUACAUCGAGCAUGUCCAUGGCGAUUUUCGUAACUCUCAACCCAUGACGCCGACUCAAGGUCUGGGGUGUAGUUAGGCACCUUCCUUGGUCCUUUAAAAUCCCUUGGCAUCUGCUCAUUGUGAAGGGCGGGGGCCAAGCAUGGCAUCCCUACCUGCCUGCUGCCUCCAACAAGUGGUGCUGGGCCGGUUUGGAUGUCCGGGUGAUCCCGACCCGGCGGGUCCUAGUGGUCAGGCGGGUUAACCUGGGGCAGGGGUCGCGCUCCGCUGGUUAUGGCGGGCUGGUCCUCCGGCCGGCUCCUGGUGCGGCUUGCUUGGGGGGUGGAGUGUAGCCGAUCGAGGCUAUGCGAGAACUGGACGUUUUGAACCACCGCCGUCUUCAACAUCUCAAUGGCGUUUCUUGCUUCUAUUUCGGCCGGGGUGUUGCCAUGAAUCAGAAGUGACUCUAAAUGGCGAGUCGCAGCGAGCACGUUGUCCACCGAGUUGGAAAAGUGACCCCGAGGUGUCUGGAAGCGGGGAAUGCGAUCAACUGCUGGCUAAAGCCGCGGGUUUGACGGCUGCCCCGGCCCUCCUCCUGGAGCGUCUCCUGCCCCGGGGGUGCGUGGAGUGUCGAAUAGCCGGGUAGGGUUGAGAUCAGGGGGUAAACGCCCCUGGUGCCUCCUCUGAUGAACAGCGUCGGAUGCAUGUUGAUGCCUCCCAAGCCGCCAGUUUUCGGUGUUCAAGCGGGUUGUCUCAGCGGUGAUCUGAGCUUGCCGAGUCUCGAUCCUGGCGGCUUCUGCUUCAGCAUCUCGCUGAGCCUUUGCCACCCCCAUCUCUUAGCUUUGCCAACUUGGCAUUGAUCGUGUCCUGGUUUUCUGUUGUUACAGGGGUCGCCAUGAUCCUUGUUAUCUCCGCCAUCAAGUCCACCAGGAUCGCAGCUGGGCUCCUGGAUGUUUCGCCAGUCCCGUCAUUGCCUGCAAGGUUUUGCUGGGGGUGAGUCGCCCCUGCCAUGUACACGGCGAUCUGACGGCGGGUCCGGUCGAGGACCCCGGGGUCCAUUGCCAGUGACAGGCCUCCGAGGCAGCCCCCGUGUAAGACUGAAUCAAAUCUGAGUCGCCCAUGGAUGAUUCGUCAUCGCUGUUCAUCGGCGUAGUCUCCUGAGUCGCCGAUCGUUCCGGUUCCUCAGAUCCCUGUGUGAAGCCGACAAAAACCGGGCGGGUUAGGUUUGGCGUCGCAACAGGGCGGACGUACUUGGCCGGCUCGACGAUGUCGGUGAAGAUGUCCGGCUCAGGCGCAAGCGAUCCAACCAUGCCGACAAAGAUGUUGAUCUUGCCGAAGGGGAUUCUGUAGCCGGAUUUGAUUGAAUCGGCCUCGGGCCCCCACAGCGAGUUGUUGAUGUAGUACUUUCCGCGGCGGCUCCGAGUCAUGAGCCCCGCCACGUAGCUCCCUGACCCUGGUAAGGCUCCCUUUGAGAACUCAACUGCACCGUGCGUCAGCCCCACGGUGGGCGCCAACUGUCGUGGUUUUGUCACGGUAGAUGUCCUCGUGAAAGGACUUAGUGUUGGAGCCAUCGCACCUUGGUGGCGACUCAAAGGGGUUGAACGGGAGCAAGACAGAGAUUUACCCAGGUUCGGCCCCUCGUGUGGAGGUAAAAGGCUACGUCCUGCUUUGUGUUGUAUUGAUGGUGUUUCGAUUACAAGGAGGGCGUAACUCGCCUGACCUAGCACUCGAUGAUUUCUCACCUCUCCCCUCCUUCCCCGGGACUCGCCUUUAUAUACAGGUCGAGCCCUUAGGGUUUACAAGAGUCCUUACCAUCAUGCAAGUCAUGAUUCUUUCUAUCUCUAAGUCGCCGUGCUUUCCAAGACUUGGAGAUCUUCCCAAUGAUUGAUUCUCCACGAGGAUCUUGAACCGCCGUCUCGCUCCUGGGCUUACAUGCCAAAGCUUGAAUCACCAAAGGAUGAGUCACCCACUCGGUGACCCGGCCCAACUAGGGCGGGGCACACAACAGAUAAUAUCCCCAACACAUGUUAAACAACAUUUAAUAUUGAUGAGUACCUAAACGGAGUAAACUAAGUAAUUCGGAUGUGGAGUUUCGUCAAUAUGCAACUCCUUGCAUAUUGAGCUUCGCUCAAUGUGUCGUGUUCGAAUGUUGUGAUUGCCAUGCCUUGCAUAUUUAAACUGGACAUCAAUCAUGUGUGUGUUUUGCAUCAUGUCUUGCAUAUGUUGUGGUGUUUAUCAUGUGUUGAUUGUUGUUCCGGAAUAUUUCUUCUCGGUAGAGUUCCGAAACCACUUUGGAUUGUGAGGAUUCGUUCGACUACGUUGAUUUGUCUACUUCAUGGAUUCGUUCUUCUUCCAAGCGGGAUCUCAGGCAAGAUGACCAUUUCCCUAGAUAUCAUUGUUGUUCCGGAUUGUUUCUUCUCGAUAGAGUUCCAAAACCGCUUCGGAGUGUGAGGAUUCGUUCGACUACGUUGGCUUGUGUACUUCAUGGAUUCGUUCUUCUUCCAAGCGGGAUCUUAGGCAAGAUGGUCAUUUCUCUACAUACCACUACUAUCAUUGCUAUGCUAGUUGUCUUGUUUCUGUUGCUUUGUCUCGCUGCCUACCACCUAUUAUGUCAAGCCUCCCAACAUUGCCAUGAAAAACCUGUAACCCCUCCACAUCCCAGCAAACCUUUGUUUGGCUAUGUUACCGCUUGCUCGGCCCUUAUUAUAGUGUUGCUAGUUGCAGGUGCAAGUUGCUCCCAUGUGAAAACAUGUAUUCCUUGUUAUAUCACAAUAUUAUUGCUAUUUAAUUUAAUGCACUUAUAUACUUGGUAAAAAGGUGGAAGGCUUGGCCUUUUGGAUCGGUGUUUUGUUCCACCUUCGCCGCCCUAGUUACUUGUGUACGGGUGUUAUGUUCCAUAUUGAGUGCUCCUAACAUGCUUGGGGUGUUAUGGGGACCCCUUGAUUUUCAUUAUAGGAUAAAACUCUUCCGGCAAGGCCCAACAUUGGUACUAUAUUUGCGCAACAUAAUAAUACUGAACACCGUUAUUAAAGCAUAUGGCAACAUGCAUCCGGGGAUUAAUUCAACAAAAUAUAGGGAGGGCCGGUGCUAAUGGUGUUGGUCCUAAAUAGAGCACUAUGCGGGGCCAACCCGGGGCAACUCGGGUGAUUUCUAUUAGGCCACUAUACACUAGCUCAUCCGGUUAUGUCUUGAGAACGAGAUACAAAGCUCCUAUCAGGAUCGUUGGCACGUCAGGCGGCCUUGCUGAAUUUGUUUUACCUUUCUCGAACGUCUUGUGCACGGGAUUCCGAGGAUACUUUGAGCUAUCUCGAGGUUGAGGUUUUCCAUCAGUAUUCCGAGGAGACUACGGGUUUUCGGUGGUUGAGGUAUUCCACACAGCUUGUGGCAGUUUGUGAUGGACUAGUUGGAGCACCCCUGCAGGGUUAAAUCUUUCGGAAAGCCAUGCUCGCGGUUAUGUGGCAACUUGGAAACUUUGUUUAACACCCAGUCAUAGAAAACUUGAAGUAAACUCAAUUAAAAUAUGCAAACUGUGUGCAUAACCGUGAUUGUCCCUUCACAUGAGUUCUGUAUCCGAGAGAGGACAUGGUCGGGUUAUGUUUGACUCGUAAGUAGGUGUUGAGGAUCAUCUCUUGAUCAUUAUUAGAUCACUUCGUUUAUGCAUAGGUCAACCCCCUCUUAUUCUUGUACUCGUAAGUUAGCCACUCAAAUAAAUGCUUGAUGCAGCCUCACCACUUAACCAUACCUCACCCAUUAAGCUUUGCUAGUCUUGGUACCUUUGGAAAUGAGAUUGCUGAGUCCAUGUGGCUCACAAACUACUACAACAACAGUUGCAGGUACAGGUAAAGUAAUACUUUGACAUGAGCGUGAUUAUUGUUCUAUUUGGAAUUCCAUCUUCUUCAUCAAUCAUAGGAUGGGUUCUAGGCCGACAGCCUGGGACAGCAAGGAUGGACGUUGUUUUAUUUGUUUGAUUUUGUCCGUAGUCAGACCCUGCUAUUUUGAAUGGUGGUUGAAUGUAUUUUUGGAUUGAGGUGAUCAUGCUUAGCUUGUGGUGGGCAUAAGCUGAUUCCAUAUACUCAUUUCUUCCUUACAUGUACUUGUAACGAUAUCCAUUCUUGCAGGACGAUGAGAUGCACUUCUAUCUCCGUCGAGGCCCUCGUGCCAAAAUAAGGAUAUGAUCGCAUCUUGGGCGUUACACUUGAGCACUUAGGAUUUAGACCGACGUGUUGGCCUCUCUCUAUUGAGCCUAGGUAGGAAUAUGGCGUGUCGAUCAGCCGUGGCCGGGCAUGACCCAGGAAAGUGUGUCCGGUCGGAGUUGAUAGGGCGUGUUGGGUAAGUUGGUGCACCCCUGCAAGGAAGUAUAUCUUUUUGAAUAGUCGUGUCUACUAUAACGGAUGCUCAAAGAGUAUCUUGAUCUACAACAACUAGAACUGGAUACUUGUGACAUUAAAAUGAAAUGUUGGCUCCGGUUUCGCUUUCUCAUAGGGAGUCGAGGAAGGAUCUCUAGGUCUUGUGACUGCAUGCUUGAAUAUGUUAUUGUAAUGUGUACUCUUCUAGUGUUGCAAGACAUUGAAGAUGCUAGGCUUUGAUAGGACUAGGUCUUUCCCUUCUAUUCUGGCAUUUCUAUAGUUCAGUCCAAAGAUAUAUCCACAUUCCUUUCAUAUUGAUGCGUACUUAGCAUAGUUCUAAUGUAAGUCUUGCGAGUACUUUGGAUGAGUACUCACCCUUGCUUUGCUUCCCUUUUCCUUUUGAUACGAUUGUCGCGAUCAGAUGACGGGGCCCACGAGCCAGCUGAUCUUGCUGACAACUACUACUACCUCAACGGAGCAUACUACUACGUGGAGGACACCGACGACCAUGAGUAGUUAGGAGGCUCCCAGGCAGGAGGACUUGCCUUUUUGAUCUAUGUUUAUGUUUUGCUAGCCUUCUUAAGGCAGGCUUGUUUGUUUAUGUCUAUACUUAGAUAAUAUUGCUUUCGCUGACUCGUAUGUACUCGAGCUUAUGUAUUGUAGGCCCCUAUCUUGUAAUAUAAAGCUUGAAUUAUCUUAUUUGUGUUUGAGUUGUGUUGUGAUA